rnacentral:rRNA from 1 species
AACGAACGCUGGCGGCAUGCCUAACACAUGCAAGUCGAACGAGAUCUUCGGGUCUAGUGGCGCACGGGUGCGUAACGUGUGGGAAUCUGCCCCUUGGUUCGGAAUAACAGUUGGAAACGACUGCUAAUACCGGAUGAUGACGAAAGUCCAAAGAUUGAUCGUCAGGGGAUGAGCCCGCGUAGGAUUAGCUAGUUGGGAUGGUAAAGGCGCACCAAGGCGACGAUCCUUAGCUGGUCUGAGAGGAUGAUCAGCCACACUGGGACUGAGACUCGGCCCAGACUCCUACGGGAGGCAGCAGUGGGCGAUAUUGGACAAUGGGCGAAAGCCCGAUCCAGGAAUGACGAGUGACUGAUGAAGGCCUUAGGGUUGUAAAGCUCUUUUACCCGGGAUGAUAAAGACGGUACCGGGAGAAGAAGCUCCGGCUAACUCCGUGCCAGCAGCCGCCGUAA